rnacentral:lncRNA from 1 species
UCCAAAUCAAACACGACGUAAGUAAAAAUUAUUAAUAGCGUAGCUACAACAUCAUAACAUGCAAACUCCAUCCACCCUUUAAGGAAAGGUUUAUUAUUCAAAACAAACAAACACCUUAUUAUUAUAGCAUAAAAAACUGACACAGGGAAUUUAUUUUGAUAUAUAAACUAAAUAGUAGGGGGAAUGAGAUUUGUGUUUUCAGUUGUCUUAGAUAUGAAAAGCUUUUGAAACUCAGAAUCCACAUUGAAAGACACUUGUUGCACCGUAGGUGAUAAGGCUCCAAACACCGAUACCUUGCCAGCCAACUCUUCAAACACAGGUCUACAGCAAAUACAAUUACUCAUUAAUAUGUGCAUGUCUAACAGUAUAUAUAACCAAACCAACUAGUAAAAACUAAGUUUUAAGACUCAUAUACCACAAUCAACUUAAUAUAAUGAACCCCUGAAUCAUGAACCAUAUUAAUGACCUUAAUUUUAAAUGAAAAUGCCAGUGUCUAUAGAAUAAUAGUUAAAGAAAUGGAGAAUGUUAAUAUGUGUUUUUAUCAGUAUAUGUUAAGAAAAUAAAUAUAAUUUUUUCCCUGUAUAUUCAUCUCAUUUAGGGUUUGUUUGAUUUGCAAAACGUAAAUACUGAAUAAAGUAGUACAAGACAGAACAACACAGGACAAACACUUAAGGUUUUGAACAAAUUUGUGUUAUACGAUAUUUGGUAGAAAAAAAGGUUAUUCUGCUACUUUAGAAAAUUUGUGCAGAUGAUAAAAAAGUUGUAUCGUGGUUCAUUGGGAGACAAGAAUUUCACUUUUUGUCUUGUCACUUCACUUGACCCCUAGUUUGUCCAGUAUCAGGAACAAUUUUAAAAUCAAACAUAGUACCUUUGAAGUUGUCAUUUACGGUCUUUUAUUUUUUAGCGGAUCAAACGCACUAUUAAUUAGAAUAUGAUUCUUAACCUUUAUAGAAAGAAGGUGGGGUGGGAAAGUAGGUAGUAAAACUAAUAAUUAUGGUGAGUUGCAUCUUGUCAUUAAUUAAUAUAAUAAUUAAUCACGACGAAAAAAAUUAUAAAUUUAAUUUUCUAAAUAGUAAUUCUCGGACACUAGUUAAAUAUGACCCUUUUCUUAAAAAAGAAAAAUCAAUGUUCAUUUUUAAAGUUGGAACAACUUACUUAGUAGUUGUGACAAUAGAAAAACUCUCUAAUCCUUCUUCACCUGCAAUUUGAGCAACCACAAAAAAUUGUGGCACAACAAUCAAAUGACCAACCUUAACUUCACUAUCCAAGACACGUUUUCCAUUUAAUCCCACAAUUUCAAAUUUUCCACUUCCCUUAGCAAUGUAAAUUAACAGAAUCCCAGGAGUAACUAAGUUUGAUGGUGCCUUAAUAGCAUUAGGUUCAAGUUUAACUCUAAUCGCACUCAAACCAACAUCCUUAAUAAAAGGAAAAUCUACCUCCGUUAAGGUUGUUACUAAUCCUACAUUUUGGGCCUCGGUGUCCGGGACUUUAGCAUCAAUGUCAUAAACAAAGUCUUUAGUUAGGCCCAAUUGUGGCUUAGGCAUUAGUUGGUCUUUUUCUAUUUUGAUUAUCACAACAUCCUUUUGACUUUGUGUUAACUUAUUGACUUCAUCUUUAUUAAAAUUAUAUACUUUGCUUAUUAAAUCACUAGAGAAACUUCCUACAAGUCCUUGAACAUAUUGGUUUUGUAAUUCAAACUCAGAACAUGUUCAUCCUCUGAAGCUGUAGAGCCUCUGAAGUGCUUCAGCCUCUGAAGCAAAAUAUAACCUCUGAACCUCACAACCUCUGAAGCUGAUAUAAGUUCUGAAGCUCUGAAGCUCUGUUUUGGUUCUGAUACGCGUUUCUGUUUUACUUAGCUUUUUAGAGUUAGUUAGUUUUGUACAGUUAUAAUUCAGUUACGUUUUGUUUGUCCUAGGUAGUUAUGCAGUUACUUGCAUUUGAAGUAACCACCUAUUGUAUAUAAACAAUUAAGGCCCUUUGUGGAAGAAUAAGAUUUUUACUUUUCCUUUAUUCAAUUUCUGCUUAUCCUAAAAUUCAUUCUUCAUUCAUCUUUCACCCUUCAGUGCUCCUUGUUUUGGGUUAUCCCCAACAAAGUGGUAUCAGAGCUUUCACGAUCCUAGGGAUCUUGAUUCGGAUCUUUCACAAAGAAAGAGCAUCAAAGGUUGCAGUGAUUCAAUCAUGGCUGGGAAGAGUAAUUUCCAUGNNNNNNNNNNNNNNNNNNNNNNNNNNNNNNNNNNNNNNNNNNNNNNNNNNNNNNNNNNCAUCUCAUUUCUUAAGUUUCAAAACUAUCUCUUUUUUGGUGUUAGGGAGUAUCAUUCCAGCCACUCCGUCAGUUCCUACAUUUGAGAAAAAUCGCGAAAAUUUUUGAACGAAUAAUUUUAAAAAACAAAAACUUAAAUGCAUUUUUAGUAUUCUAUUUUUGUUGAUAACAAUUGAAACGUGACAUAGCCAAUAGAAUCAAUCCAAAAGAUCGUUAUUCACAAAAUAUAAAACUAAAUUUUUAUUCAUGAGAUCAGAUUAAUUAAAACGACGAUGAUUAAUUCUUUUACCUUCAAUAACAUAACCAACUUUGGAUGAAUCAGCAUAAUGAGGAAGAGCAAAUCCCCUUGGCUGAAGAACAAGCUGACCAGCACCAACAUUUGUCUUAGCCAAAAGUGGAACUUGAGAACUUAACCAAAUGUAAUACCCUCCACCAUUUCCCUCAAUCAAUGGUUGUGCUAUCUUUGGUGUUAGAUCAAACUCCAUUGAUUUCUUAUCUCUUUUGUUCAUGAAAAAUAAACCAUUUCAAUUAUAAAUUAGUGAUCCAUAUUACUUGGUUGAAAAAGUAAUGCUAAAUACACCACUCAAAAACACAUUAUAUAUGUAUUGUUUUUGUUUUGGUCUUAAUUCCCUCGAUUCUUGUUCUGGUAAUUUGCGAUGAGUAAAGUUUAACCAAUUAUUAUUCCAAUCCGGAUUUGAGUUUAUUUUUUUCGAACAAAUUUCUUUAAAUGUAUAGUUGAUCAACUCUUGAUUCGGAUUAUGUGCAGUCACAAUUUCCUAACUGUCUGAUCUUAGUCGGACAAUCUAAAAUUUUAUGAUCGAAACUUCACAUAUUAUAAAAUAAAAAUAUUAUUUUAUUAUGGACCGUCUGAUCAAGAUCAAACGGCCAAUAAUUCAUAACCGCACGACUGCAUGCAUUCAGUAUCACUGCACAAAAUAUAAAUGUCAAUUGUUGGUGUACUUCGGUGCUUGUGAUAAUUGAGACAUAUUAUUGAGUUUAUUUCUUUUUUUGUUAAAUCUUUUUUUAUUCAAAAUGUUUUGUUUGGACAUAUAUAGAAAGAACAAAUUCUUGGACUCAUUCAUAUUUCUAACUUUUCCAUUNNNNNNNNNNNNNNNNNNNNNNNNNNNNNNNNNNNNNNNNNNNNNNNNNNNNNNNNNNNNNNNUUUACAAAUUUUUCCUUUGUUUAUUUGUACAUCAAUAUGAAUGUAAAAGUUUGUACAUCAAUAUUUUUCUGAUAAAAAAAUAUUGAUGUACAAAUAAAGAAAUGAAAAGUUGAGAUAUUUGAUGAUAUUGCAAUUAAUUAUUUGCUAAUAAAAAAAAAAGGAAGGUGCAUAUCUUUAAAAGAUAUCUAGACAGCAUUUCAUAUCAAAUAAUGCAUCUAAAAAAUAUAAAAUAAUAGACAAUAUUUCAAAGUAUCAAAUAAAAGUCUUCAACUCAAAGUGGAAAUUAAAUCUCAACAAAAGAUUAGAGAAACCAUAAUUAUUAUCAAAUUUAUAAGUGAUGAACAUACCUGCAGCGAUCUUGGAAUUAAAGAAACUGAGAAAAAGCAAUGAACUUAGAUGCGUAAAUGUGCAAGCAAUGAACUUAGUGCAUAUAUUCAAAAUGGGUCAUUCUUUUUGGGACGGAGGGAGUAGAAUAUUGGGUUGGAAUCUAGAUGCGUAAAUGUGCAAGCUGAGAUGAAGACUUUGAGGGAUAUAAAUAGUGUUUUAAAUGGUUAAACAAGUUGUAAUGAAUACUGAUCUGCUGGGAAAACAAGUUGUAGUACUUUUUAUUUUUUGAUAUUAAAAUAAUAAUACUUUUUGGAUUAAAUAGAUAUUAAAAAAAGAUAGAUAAUAAUAUAUUAAAAGUUUGAGCAUGUUGAUAUGAUAAAAAAAAUAUUUGUCUGAUAAUUGUUAUUUUUCUCACCAACUUAUAACUUAUUUUUAUUAUAUAUUUAUAGUUUAAAGUUUAUAGUUUAUCAUUUUCUCCCUAAAUAAUAUCUUUUUUAAAAAAGUAAAAUAAAAUUAAAUAUAUUUUUUAUGUUAUUUUUUAUUUAUAAACUAGUAUAAUUAAGAAUAGAGUUAGGAAUUAAGUUUAGGAGGAUCAAAUUUUUUAAAAAAAUUGUAAAAGAAAUUAAAUUUUAAAAGUAUAACAUAUAAGAUAAAUCUAAAUUUAAUAUUGUGAAUCUGCAUUUUAAAGGCCACUUUUUUUAAGUUGAAAUUUUUGUCCUCUCUAUUAAUUUUCAAAUUUAUUGUAAUUUUAAUCUCAACUCAUGCAUUAUUUCAUAUAAGUUGCGAUUUUUUGUGUAAAAAAAAAAUGUGAAUUUAAGUUUCAAAGGAGAAGUUUUGUCAACAAAUCACCUUUUUGGUACAAAAUAAAUACCAUGUUUAUGGGAGAAAACAUUUGUUGAGAUCAAAUUAAAUAGAACCAAAAAGUUGAAUUAAAAAAGAUAUCAUUUUAGUGAGUUUAAUAAAGUAGGGACGAUCAAAAGUGCAAUUAAACCAAUAAUAUAAUAAUAUAGCGGUAUAAACAAAUUUAAAAAAAGUCUAGAGAGAUGUGGCUUCGCUCGGCUAGUCCCCUUCUAGUUUCGUCUUUGAGUAACUAUGAAUUUUAAUUUAUUCGACGCUUAAAAUUCAAUAAGUUGGUUUAUCCACUAUAUAAGCUAUAAUUUAUCAUAUAUCUAAUAUGUUUUGUCAAACAUAUCCUAAAUUUAUGAGAUACCGCUCAGAAUGAUACUCUUUCCAGUCUUAUUUAUAAACAAAAGUUACUUUUUAAAUUCAUUGAAUAAUUGAUGGAUCUAGACUAUAUCAAAAUCAGAUACAUUGGUUAUUCAAUGAAUAAAAUAACUUUUAUUAUAAAUAAGACCGGAGAAAAUACUUAGCAUUUUACAGACCUAAAUUUAAACUCAGAAUUUCCCACUUAUCCACGUAUUUGAUCACUAUGGAGAAAAAUAUAUAUAUUAAAUCUAUUUAUUAAUGUUCCAAAAUUGGAGUGUACCAAUAAAAUGAUUAAUUCCAAAAUUCGAGAUAGUUCUGAAUUUUUAUAUGACGUGUAUAACGUGGGUGCGCAAAACUCGUGGUGCAUUUCAAUAGUAUCAUACUAUCACAUACUCACCCAAAUAAUUGUAGAUUUGUAUUUUAUUGGAGAAAAUAGGACAUGCACUAUGAUUUAAUACCAACAAAUAUUUUACAAAUCACCUUACUACACUUUAUUCUAACGAUAUAAUGCGGAAUAAUAAUUGAAUUUUAUUGAAUAUUCGUGUGAAAAUAUUUGAUACUAAUAUAACAUGUGCAUUAAACUCUUUAUUCAAUGAAUUUAAUUUAGUAUUUAUAUAUAUUGUCGGUGUAAAUGUUUUUUUUACGUAUAAGUCUAAUAAUAUAUUGUGUUUAUAAAUACAUAGGGUGUGUUUGAUCUGCUAGAAAACAGGGGAUUGGAUUGAACAACUUUUGUUGUACUUUGUUUGAUUUGAAAUUGCUCAUGGGACUAGACAAAUUAGGUAGCAAGGGACAGGACAAAAACAACAAUUUUUGUCCCUCACCGAACCACAGUACAACUUUUUGUCCACAGUACAACUAUAAAAAAUAUGAAAAUACUCAUUUUAUUUUCGAAUAUAAAAAUAUUAUCAUCUUUUAUCUCUCCGGUAUAGUUUUGUCAUGUCCUGUAUUAUUUUGUUUUGUCAUGUACUGUUUUGUUCAGUCCUUAUUAUUUUACAAAUCAAAAGCACUCAUAAUGUGUUGUAUUAAUUAAAUGAUGUGACAACACAUCAUUGAAUGCAUGUGUAAAAUAAUUUAGACUAACGAUUGCAUAUAAAUAAAACUUUUAUUCAAUUCAAUUUGAACUAUACAUGCAAGGCUAGAUGUCAAUAAUUGAAUCCGGUAUGUAUGGGUGUGGGAUAUGGUCCAUUGGUCCCUAUAGCCUCUGAAAAACAAUGAAUUUCAUUAUUGACGGACCACUUCCACUUGUGAGAGUGGGAUAUGUAUAGUUUGGAAAUGGAUUCUUUAAAUUUAUUUUCAUCUAUGUUUUUUAUGUGACCUUAAUUUUAUUUUUAAUUUUUUUAUUUGAUAUUUCAUUUUUAUUUAAUGAUCUCUUUUGGGUCAAUGUAGAGAAUUCAUUUCUUUAUAGUUCCUUCCUAUUGGUCCUUAUAUAUUAAUUCCUGUUAUCCGAUAAUUAUGAUUGGUUCCGUAAAAAAAUUGAAAAUAGUUCUAACAAGGAUCCGAUCUUUUUCAGCGAUUGGCCGAUUCUAUGUAAUUUUUACACUCCUUCAGAUAACAACAGUAGUACAUAUUUAUGUGAAACGUUACUCAAAAUUUUAAUAUAAAACAUUUUUUAUAAGAGAAUCUCCAAUGAUAAUAACAUUUUGAGUAUCAUAUAUUACUAAUAAAUGGUUCAUACAAUAUCAUGUAAUGUAAUAUUUAUGUAACUCAUAUAUAUAUUUUGUUCCAAUUGUGAUACCACUCGAAAUAUUAUAUAUUAUUAAUAAGUGGUCUCUUUUAUAUUUAUUUUUUAACUGAAAUUAAUUAAUGAUAUUAAAUUGAUGACACAAAUAAGCUAGCUAUAGCUUAUUAUAGUACUCCUUCCAUACCAAGAUAUAAGCAAAUAUGACUUAAAGAAUUUUGAUAUAUUUGAUUAAAGAUUUGGAGCAAAUACAUUCAUUUUUAUUAACAAAUUUUUUCUUAUAUUUUGGGACGGAAGGAGUAGUUUAUAAGUUUGUUUGAUAAAAUUAAAGGUGUUUGGUAACAAUUUUUUUUUACUACUAGCUUAUAAUUUUUUUCAAAUGGUAACAAAUGUUAUAAUUUUACUUAUAGCGUUUUACCUUUAAUUCCAAUUUUAACCUUAUUAUUUUAAUUACUUUUUUUUUAAAUAAGAAAACAAUCCACUCACAUAAAUUAAUCAUUUACUUUUAUAUCAUUUUAUGAUUAUAAAAGCUAAAUUUUCCGAACACUUUAAUUUCAUUCUACUAAUUUUUCAACUAUCAGUUAAAAACCAAUUUUUCAACUAUAAAUUAGCUUAUAGCUUAAUUUUUACCAAAUAGAGCCAAUAUAUCAUUGAUGUUAAAACACUCACAUGUAUAACAGUACAAGCAUGUUCUUAAUGUUGUAGUGAAGUGGUAAAUAUGCUCCGAGACAUCAUGGGUGUGUGUCAGUGUGUGGAAUAUUCGAACUUAAACUAUCUCAUCAUUUAUUCUAUUAUUCGUGUGUGUGUGUGUGGUGGUGGUGGUGGUGGGCGAGGGUUGGUCUUGGUCAUAAGGACAAUAGCAAAAUAAAACACGCACAAAGAUACAUAUUGAAUAAUAGAGCAUUUAUUUAUUUUUUCUUAGUGAUACUAAUUAAGUAAAAAUUAUAAAUAGUGUAGCUACAACAUCAUAACAUGUAAACUCCAUCCACCUUUUAGUAAAGGUUUUAUUAUUCAAAACAAACAAACACCUUAUUAUUAUAGAAUAAAAAACUGACACAGGGAAUUUAUUUUGAUAUAUAAACAAAACAAGGCAAACUAAAUAGUAGGGGGAAUGAGAUUUGUGUUUUGAGUGGUCUUAGAUAUGAAAAGCUUUUGAAACUGAGAAUCCACAUUGAAAGACACUUGUUGCACCGUAGGUGAUAAGGCUCCCAACACCGAUACCUUGCCAGCCAACUCUUCAAACACAGGCCUACGUACAACAAAUACAAUUACUCAUUAAUAUGUGCAUGUCUAACAUUAUAACCAAACCAACUAGUAAAAACUAAGUUUAAGACUCAUAUACCACAACCAACUUAAUAUAAUGAACCAUAUUAAUGACCUUAAUUUUAAAUGAAAAUGCUAUUUAGUGUUAAAAGAAUACGGUACUAGUUAAGAAAACUAAAUGGAGAAUGUUAAUACGUGUGUUUAACGGUACAUGUUAAGAAAAUAAAUGUAUGCAAAAUAUAAACAAUGAACAAAAUAUUACAAGGACAGUACAAAACAUAACAUCACAGGAUAAACGCCCAAGGUUUUGAACAAA